AACGCACAUUGCGCCCGCUGGUAUUCCGGCGGGCAUGCCCGUUCGAGCGUCAUUUCAAUUCCUUCCCAGGAGGGAGCCUCUGUGGAAACAGAAGGUUCCUGCCAGGGGCGUUGGCACCGGGCGCCGCCUAGGCGGCCGGAGCCCAAAUGCAGUGGCGGACGCGCAGGCGGCCCUUAGCGUAGUAGAAAACAACUUUUUUUUUUUUCUCGCUCAGGAGGCUCGCAGCGGCGGACCACAGCCCUACGCAAAGCUUUUUGCAACAAAAACUUGACCUCGGAUCGGGUAGGACUACCCGCUGAACUUAA
rnacentral:misc_RNA from 1 species